UGGGGAAUAUUGGACAAUGGGCGAAAGCCUGAUCCAGCCAUGCCGCGUGUGUGAAGAAGGUCUUCGGAUUGUAACGCACUUUAAGUUGGGUGGAAGGGCAGUAAGCGAAUACCUUGCUGUUUUGACGUUACCGACAGAAUAAGCACCGGCUAACUCUGUGCCAGCAGCCGCGGUAAUACAGCGGGUGCAAGCGUUAAUCGGAAUUACUUGGCGUAAAGCGCGCGUAGGUGGUUCGUUAAGUUGAAUGUGAAAGCCCCGGGCUCAACCUGGGAACUGCUUCCAAAACUGGCGAGCUAGAGUAGGGCAGAGGGUGGUGGAAUUUCCUGUGUAGCGGUGAAAUGCGUAGAUAUAGGAAGGAACACCAGUGGCGAAGGCGACCACCUGGGCUCAUACUGACACUGAGGUGCGAAAGCGUGGGGCGCAAACAGG
rnacentral:rRNA from 1 species